GGGGGCUCGAAGACGAUCAGAUACCGUCCUAGUCUCAACCAUAAACGAUGCCGACCAGGGAUCGGCGGAUGUUGCUUAUAGGACUCCGCCGGCACCUUAUGAGAAAUCAAAGUCUUUGGGUGUGGGGGGGAGUAUGGUCGCAAGGCUGAAACUUAAAGGAAUUGACGGAAGGGCACCACCAGGCGUGGAGCCUGCGGCUUAAUUUGACUCAACACGGGGAAACUUACCAGGUCCAGACAUAGCAAG
rnacentral:ncRNA from 1 species